rnacentral:rRNA from 1 species
GAUGAACGCUGACAGCAUGCUUAACACAUGCAAGUCAACUGUGGCGGACGGGUGAUUAACGCGUAAAGAACUUUCCCCACGGAUAGGGACAACAUUUGGAAACGAAUGCUAAUACCUGAUACUGUGAGACAGCUUUGCGUCCCAUUAGCUAGUUGGAGAGGUAACGGCUCAGAAAGGCGAGGAUGGGUAGCCGGCCUGAGAGGGUGAUCGGCCACAAGGGGACAGAGGAACGGCCCUUAGUCCUACGGGAGUCAGGGGUGAGGGAUAUUGGACAAAGGACCGAAGACUGAUCAAGCCAUUCUGUGUGCACAAUGAAGUUUUCGGAAUGAAAAGAGCUUUCAGUUGGGAAGCGGUACCAACAGAAGAAGUGACGGCUAAAUACGUGCCAGCAGCCGCGGUAAUAC